GUGUUAUCUGCCGACAGCGUAAUGCGAGGCAAGUGCCAGCCGUUCCGCCCGGCAUACAAGCUUAUGGAGCAGCCCCCUUUGAAGAUCUCCAGGUAGACUUCACAGAGAUGCCAAAGUGUGGAGAUCUGAUUCCUAGAUUGGGACUGCCCUUACGGAUCAGCUCAGAUAACGGGCCUGCGUUUGUGGCUGACAGUACAGAAGAUGGCAAAGGUAUCGGGGAUCACAUGGAAACCGCAUGCCGCCUCCUGGUCUCAGAGUUCCGGAAAGGUGGGGCGGAUAAAUCGGACUAUCCAAAAUGGUAUUACUGUCUUCCCCGCUGGAUAUUAAAAACAAUUCCACAAGGGGCGUCAAACCACCUGCCAAAUUUGAGGGAAUGUUAUCCUCUCCCCCGCCCCCCGUCCCCAGAUAUUAGAGACAAUAACACAGGGGUAAUGUAUACCCACUGCUUUAUUGGGAGUAAUAUCAUCCUCUCCCUUCUUGGAUAUUAGGAACAAUAUCACAGUGUGCGUGUACGCCUGUCGCGAAAUUCAAUGUAAUGUCAUCCUGUGCCUCUGUGGAUAUGACGAACAAUAUCACGGGGGAUGUACCACUUCUGAGAUAUUGGGAGUGAUAUCAUCCUCUCCCCUCUGGAAGUUAGGGACAAUAUCACAGGGGUAGUGUACACUCUCUGUGAUGUUGGGACUAAUAUCAUCCUCCCGCCCCCUGGAUAUUGAAAACCAUAUCACAAGGGGCGUGUACACACACUUCGAUAUUGGUAUUAAUACCAUCCUCUCCCUCUUUGGAUUUUCAGUGCAAUAUUUCAGGUGGGGUAUACACCACCUGCAAUAUUGGAAGUAAUAUUAUUUUCUCCCACUGUGGAUAUCAGCAACAAUAUCACAGGGGGUGUGAAAAACCCCUGCGACAUUCAGAGUAACAUCAUCGUUCCCCUCAUGAAUAUUAAGAACAAUAUCGUGGUGGGGGGUGUACACCCCCUUUGAUAUUUGACAUCAUCCUCUUCCCCCCUGGAUAUGAGGAACAAUAUCAGGAAGGGAUGUACAGACCCUGAGACAUUUGCUGUCAUAUAAUUGUCUCUCCCCUAGAUAUUAGGAAAAAUGUAACUGGGGAUGUGAACACCCCUGCGAUAUUGGGAGAAGUAUCAUCCUCUCCCCCGUUGGAUAUUAGGAACAAUAUCACAGGGGAGGUGUACUGCCUCUGGGCUAUUGGGAGCAAAAUUAUCCUCUCUUCCCCUGGAUAUUAGGAAGGGUCUCAGAGGGGGAGGGUGUACAUUCCCUGCGAUAUUCAAUGUAAUCUUAUCCUCUCCCUCCCAGGGUAUUAAGAACAAUAUUACAGGAGGGGUGUACACCCUCUGCGAUACUAAGAGUCAUAUCAUCCUCUUUGGCUCUGGAUAUUAGGAGCAAUAUCACAGGGCUGUGUACACCCCCUGCGAUAUUGGGAGUAAUAUCAUCCUCUCCACCCAGGAAAUUACUAACUAGGUCACGGGGGGUGUACUCCCCCUGCGAUAUUGGGAGUAAUGUCGUCCUCCCUAAACCUGGAUGUUAGCAACAAGAUCACAGAGGGGGUGUACACACCCUGCGAUAUUGGAAGUAAUAUGAUCCUCUUCCCCCCCACCCCAGAUAUUGGGAAAAAUAUCACAGCACGGGUAUACAUUUCCUACGCUGUUGGGAGUAAUAUCAUUCUUUUCUUCUCUGGAUAUUAGGAACAAUAUCGCAGGGGUGGUGUACAUUUCCUUUGAUAUUGGGAGUAAUAUCAUCCUCUCUCCAUUGGGAUAUUAGGAACAAUAUCCCAGGGGGGUGUCUACCCUCUGCGACAUUGGGAGUAAUAUCAUCCUCUGUUUCCCUGGAUAUUAGACUCAAUGUCACAAAAAGGUGUACACCCCCUGUGAUAUUGGGAAUAAUAUCAUACUCUCCUUCCCUGGAUAUUAGAAAACAAUGUCAUCAGGGGUGAACACCCGUGCGAUAAUGGGAGUAAUAUUUUCUCUUUCACAGGCCAUUAGGAACAAUAUCACAGAGGGUGUUUACACACCCUGCGAUAUUGGAGGUAAUAUCAUCCUCUGCCCCCCGGAAUAUUACCAACAAUAUCAAACAGAGGUUGUGUACACUUCCUGUGAUAUUGGGAGUAAUAUCAUUCUCUCCACCCCCGGAUAUUAAGAACAACAUCCCGGCGGGGGGUGGUACACCCCCCAGUGAUAUUGGGAAUAAUGUCAUCCUGUCCUUCCCUGGAUAUUAGGAACCAUAUCACAGGGGGGUGUACACCUUCUGUGAUAUUGGAAGCAAUAUCAUCCUCUCCCCCACUGGAUAUUAGAAAAAAUACCACACAUGGUGUACACCCACUGUGAUAUUAGGAAGAAUAUUACAGGGUGUACACCCACUCUGACUUUAGGAGAAACAGCUACCUAAAAUGUCACAAACAAUAUCACAGGGUAUACAGUAAUAUCUCCCUAGGAUAUUACAAAUACUAUUACAGGGUGUACACCCACUGCGAUAACAAGAGAAAUACAUCCCAAGGACAUUACCAAUAAUAUCACAGGCUGUACACCCACUAUGACAUAAGGAGUGAUAUUUCCCUAGGAUAUUACGAAUAACAUCACAGAAUGUACACCCAUGGUGUGCACCCAUGGUGAUAUUAGGAGUAAUAUCUACCCAGGACAUAACCAAUAACAGCACAGGGUGUACAUACAUGAUGUACACCCAUGGUGAUGUUAUGAGAACUAUCUCCCUAGGAUAUUACAAAUAACAUCACAGAGGGUACACACAUGGUAUACUCCCACUGUGGCACUAGGACUAAUAACUUUCUAACAUAUGAAUAGCAUCACAAAAUAGAAACACAUGGUGUACACCCACUGUGAUAUUAAGGGUAAUAUCCCCCUAGGAUAUUAUGAAUAACAUCACAGGGUGUUCACCCAUGGUGUACACAUGCUGUAAUACUAGGAAUAAUAUCUCUCUAGGAUAUUAUGAAUAAUAUCACAGGGUGAACACCCACUGUGAUAUUGGGAACAAUAUCUCUCUGGGAUAUUACGGAUUAUAUCACAGAGUGUACACACAUGGUGUACACCCACUUUGGUAUUAGGAGUAAUAUCUUCCUAGGACAUUACAAAUAAUAUCACAGAGUGUACACCCACUGUAACAUUAGGAAUCGCAUCUCCCUAGGGUAUUACAAAUAAUAUCACAGGGUGUACACCCACUGUGAUAUUAAAAGUCAUACCUCAGUCAGAUAUUGUGAAUAAUAUCACGGAUGUACACCACGUGUGCACACCCACUGUGAUUUUUAAAGUAAUACCUCCUUAGGAUAUUAUGAAUAAUAUCAAGGAGUGUACACACCCCAUGACAUUAAGAUAACAUCCCUUUAGGAUAUUCCAAAUAAUAACCCAGGCUGUAUACCCCAUGUGACAUUAAGAGUAACAUCUUCCUAGGAUAUUACGAAUAAGAUCCCAGGGUUGACACCCCCUGUGAUUUUAAAAGUUAAAUCCCCUUAGAAUAUUACUAAUAAUAACACAGGGUGUACACCCCUGUGAUGUUAGGAGUAACAUCCUCCCAGGAUAUUAUGAAUAAUAUCAGAAGGUGUACACACAUGGUGACAUUAGUAGUCAUAUCCCGCUAGUAUAUUGUGAAUAAUAUCACAGGGUAUACACACCUGUGACAUUAGGAGUAACAUCCCCCUGGAAUAUUCUGAAUAAUAUCACUGGGCGUACACCUCCUGUGACUUUAGGAGUAUCAUCCUGCUAAAAUAUUACGAAUAAUGUCACAGGGGGUUAGCCUGUGUAAUAUCACAGGGUGUACACCCCCUGUGACAUUAGGAGUAACAUCUUUCUAGAACAUCACGAGUAAUAUCACAAUGUGUACACCCCCUGUGACAUUAAAAGCAAAAUCCCCCUAAGAUAUUCCGAAUAAUAUCACAGGGAGUACACCCCGUGUGACAUAGGAGUAAUAAUCCGUGAGGAUAUAAUGAAUAAUAUCAGAGGGUAUAUACGUAUUGUGACAUUAGUAGUAACAUCCUGCUAGGAUAUUACGAAUAAUAUCACAAGGUGUACACCCCGGGUGACAUUAAUUGAUGGAACAGUCCCCUAGAAUAUGACCAAUAACAUUACAAGGUGUAGAACACCUGUGAUUUAUGAGUAAGAGUUCUAUAGAAUAUUACAAGUAAUAUCAUUCAGUGUGCACCCCGUGUGACAUUAGGAGUAACAGCCCACGAAACUGUGACAAAUAAUUUCAAAAGGUGUACACCCUCUGUGACAUUAAAAGUAAUAUCUUACUAGGAUAUUACGAAUAAUAUCACAGGGUAUACAGCCCCUGUGACAUGAGGAGUAAUGUCUUUUUAGGAUAUCGCGAAUAAUAUAACAAGAUGUACACACCCUGUGACAUUAGGUGUAACAUCCGUCUAGGAGACUAUGAAUACUAUCGCAGCGAACACACCCCCUGUGACAAUAGGAGUAACAUCCCCGUAGGAUAUUAUGAAUAAUAUCACAAGGUGUACACACAUUGUGACUUCAGUGCUAAUAUCCCUCUCAUAUACUGUGACUAUCACAGGGUGUGCACCCCUGUGAUAUGACAUUAGGAGUAACAUCUCCCUAGAGUAUUAUGAAUACUAUCAUGAGGGUACACACGCCUUUGGUUUAGGAGUAAUAUUCCCCUAGGAUAUUACAAAUGAUAUCACAGUAUGUACACUCACUGUGAUAUUAGGAGUCCCAUUUUCCUAGGAUAUUAUGAAUAAUAUCACAGUAGGUGUUCACACAUAAUGUGUACACCAUGUGUGUACACCCAUGUGAUAUUUGAAGUAGUAUGUCCCUAGGAUCUUAUGAAUAAUCUCAAAAGGUGUACACCCCAUGUGACAUUAAAAGUAACGUCCCUUUUGGAUAUUCCGAAUGCUAUCACAGGGUGUGAUAUUAGGAGUGUGAUAUUGGGAGUAACCUCUUCCUAGGAUAACCCAUGUGAUAUUAGGAGUAACCUCUUCCUAGGAUAUUACGAAUAACAUCACAGGGUGUACACCCCUGUGACUUUAAAAGUAACCCCCCCAUAGAAGAUUAUGAAUAAUAUAACAGGGCGCACUCCCCCUGUGACAUUAGGAGUAACAUCUCCCUAGGAUAUUAUGAAUAAUGUCACUGGGGGCACACCCUCUGUGAUAUUAGCAGCAGCAUCUACCUAGGAGAUUACGAAUGAUAUCACAGGGUGUCCACUCACUGGGAUAUUAGAAGGAAUAUCUCCCUAGGAUAUAAGCUAUCACAUCACAGAGUGUACACACAUGGUGUACACCCACUGUGUUAUUAGAAGCAAUAUCUCCCUACGAUAUUAUGAAAAAUAUCACGGGGUGUACCCUCUGUGGGAUACUAGAAGUAAUGUUUACCAUGGAUAUUACAAAUAAUAUCACAGGGUGUACACACAUGGGGUACACCCACUGGGAUAUUAGGAGUUAUAUCUCUCUAAGAUAUUACAAAUAAUAUCUCUCUAUAAGAUUACAAAUAAUAUCUAAGGGUGUACACCCCCUGUGACAUUAGGAGUAACAUCCCCCUACAAUAUUGGGAACAAUAUCACACGGUGUACACCCCUGUAACAUUAGGGGUAACAUCCCCCCAGAAUAUUACUAAUAAUAUCACAAGAUGUAUUGUGACAUUAGUAGUAAUAUCCUGCUAGCAUAUUUUCAAUAAUAUCACAGAAGGAACACACCUGUGACAAUAAGAAUAACAUCCCCCUAGAAUAGUAAGAAUAAUAGCACAGGGUGUACACCCCCUGUGACAUUAGGAGUAUCAUCUCACUAGAAUAUUAUGAAUAAUGUCACAGAGUGUUAUCUUCUGUGACAUUAGGAGUACAGACCCCUGGGAAAUUAUGAAUACUAUCACAGGGUUUACACCCCUGUGACAUUAGGAGCAACAUCUUUCUAGAAUAUCAUGAAUAAUGUCACAAUGUGUACAACCUGGUGUCAUUAAAAGUAAAAUUGCCCUAGGAUAUUAUGAAAUAGAACACAGGGAGAACACCUCGUGUGACAUUAGAAGUAACAUCCCCUGAGGAUAUAACGAAUAUGAGGCAUUUGUCCCGGUGGGACGCCCCCCAGAGCAGUGUGUGGCAGGCCCCCGUGGAGGAUCAAUGCAGUGGCUGAACACCUGGAAGGAACAGGCACUUGGAGUCUGCACAUCUGAAACUUGGUAAGACUGGUCUUUGAAACUUGCUCACUCCGUUUGAGUGGAAGCGUGGCCUGAUCACCCACGGCGUGCCUGUACAGGCACUUUGGUUUUGGUUUUGACUUGGUUUGAAUUGCUUGACGGGACUGGUCUUGAGAACUUGCCCACUCCAUUUGAGUGGAAGCAUGGCCUGAUCACCCACAGCGUGCCUGUACCGGCACUUUGGUUUUUGUUUUUGAUUUGACUUGGAUUGCUUGAUACUUUGGUUUUGGUUUUGACCUGGCUUAGAUUUCUGGUUACUCUGAUUUUGGUUUUGAUUUUUGUUUGGUGCAAACUGCAAAACUGUGUGUGUGCCCUUUUUACCCAUUUUUUUGUUUUGUGGUGUGCGUGUGGAGUGAGCAUGGUAUUUUGUCUCAAAGAAGCAUAGGUCAGGCACAAAUAAGCCCACCCUACUAGGAACUAUGUUGGAAAAUUUCAAAAAAAGAAUUUAAGAGAGACUAUGGAGUACUGUGACACUAGGAAAACUUAAAACUUUGUGUAAGAUAGACCGGCCAGCAUUAGAGGUAGAUUGGCCAUUAGAAGGAAGCCUGGACAGGUCCCUUGUUUCAAAGGUAUGGCACAAAGUAACCUGUAAGCCAGGGCACCCAGACCAGUUCCCGUACAUAGACACUUGGUUACAGCUGGUUUUAGACCCCACGCCCCCAACACACAGCGGUUGAGAGAACAGCAGCAUAAGCAGAUGGCAGAGGCAAGGAAAGAGCAGCAGAGAGAGAGAGAGGAAAGAGACAGAGAGGAAGAGAGGAAAAGAGAGAGAGGAAGAGACAGAGAGGAACAGACAAAGAGGGAGUCAAGGAGAGAGAGAGAAAGAGAGAGGCAGAGAGAGGAAGAGACAGAGGCAAAAGGAAAGUCAGAAAGAGAGAGACAAAGUCAAAGAGAGAAAGAAAGAAAGAGAUAUACAAGUAGUUAAAAAAAAGUGUACCCUAUUCUUUAAAAGCCAAGGUAAAUUUAAAACCUAUAAUUGAUAAUUGAAGGUAUUCUCCGUAACCCUAUAACAGUCCGAUACCACUUUGUUGUCAGUGUAAACAAGGGCAUAUCCCGAAAGCACUGAGGCCUUCCUAUCAAAAAUCCUUAACCCCAUAACCCGCGGAUGGCCCAAAUGCAUUCAAUCUGUAGCGGCAACUGCUUCGCUAACAAAAAAAAAAAAAAAAGGGGAAAAAGAAUAACUUUUAGAGGAAACCUCAUUGUGAGCACAUCUCACCAGUUCAGAAGUAUCCUAAGGGAAAAAAAAAAAAAAAGGAAAAAAAAGGGGGCGGGUGGAAUUUAUAUAAAAAGAGUAUUAUAUGGUAAAUUCUUGUCCUGAAAUAAAUUAACUGGUUGUUUAAAGAAAGAAAUAUUUGUAAUAAGUCAGAAAGUUGAGGCAUGUGGAAGAAUUGUCUGCAAAAGUCAAGAAAGAGAAAAAUGUUAUAAAAAAGAAUUUAUGCAAAAAAUGUUGUAUAAUUUAAAAGUAACUAGGCCUCCUGAAUGUAAAACUAUUGAAAAAAAAAAAAAACAACAGUUUAUGUGCAAGGUGUAUAAGAAAAGUAAAAUAUAUCUUUGGUAAAAGGAUUAUAAGGAGGCAUAAGAAUGUACAUUUUUACCUACAUUAAAAAGUUAAAAAUUUAUUGUUUUGAAGGUUUAAGCAAAUUUUAAAACAUUAAUUGUAAAGGAAAUUCUGUGUAUAAACAUAUUUGCUAAAGUUAAAGAAGUAUCAUCCAGUUUUUCUGUGAACUAGACAUUAAAGUAAAAGCAUAACAGGUUUUUCUUAAAGCACCAACCUGCUCUUUAGCAAAAAUUAUGAAAGGUUAAAAAGAGUCUAUAAAAUCGUAACUUACGGUCAAACAUUAAAAAUUAGAUAAAUAUGUCUACAGGCUUUUAUUAAAAUUAGGUUUAACAUUAAUAACACACUAAUAUAAACAUAACAUUUAGCUUAUCUGGUAUAAAAAUCAUACAAGAAGCAUUGUUAAAUGUAAAAUGGUAUUUGGCUUUCUUUGGUUUAAAAACUAAUAAAAAUAGGUGCUAAAGGAAAUUUCUCAGUAAAAAGACACUAAGGACUAUAAAGUCCACUGCCAAGGUCCCCACAUUUAAAACAAAAGGUCAGUUUCUUAAAAAUUAUAUACUUGGUUUAUCUUCCACUUUCCUUUCUCUCAAAAACUAAAAGUCUUUUAGCACAUGUACCACCGCUAGAAUUUCCAGUAAAUCAGCACCAGCCUGAAGAUCACGUUCUCAUCAAAGGGUGGAAAGAAGAAAAACUUGAGCCCGCCUGGGAAGGACCCUACCUUGUCCUGCUAACCACCAAGACUGCUGUUUUUACAGAAAAAAAAAAAGAUGGACUCAUCACACCCAAGUCAAGAAAGCGCCACCCCCUCCAGAGGUGGGGGCCAUAGUCCCAGGGGAAAACCCUACCAAACUAAAGCUAAGAAAAAUGUAACUCUUUUCAUCUACUCUAUUACUCUUUCUUCUUUCCUCAUUCUAUUGUUGACCAUAUAGUUAUUAACAUAAUCAAAUCAAUUUCACCUCAAACUAUUGCAUUUAAUUCUUGCCUUGUUAUACCCUGUGGGGACUUGCCAAUUCCAAGACAGCUUUCUACUUCAGAAAAGUAUCUCUGCCCCUCCUGACUCUCCUCAGACUGGGCAUUAGUAAACGAGGACCAUUUAAUCCGGGGAGAUUUCAAUAAACACCCCAGUGCCAACUAGGAGUCUUGCCCCCUGACGUAGAGCUUUCAUGCCAUAGUUGGUCCAACGUCCUGUGGACCACUAAAGAGCAAGGACGGACUGACCCAACCGGUUUUUAUAAUUUCCUAAAACCAUACAUUCAUUUUACUAGAGGAUCAUAGAAGUUAAAGACUUAAAACAAACUUUAUCAAUUAAGACAGGAUACCAAGAUGCAAAUGCCUAGUUAAAAUGGAUCAAAUAUUCCAUUUGACAUUAAAUAAAACCAAUUGUUAUGCUUGUGCACAUGGCAGGCCAGAGGCCCAGAUUGUCCCCUUUCCACUAAGGUGGUCCUCCAGUUGACCAGGUGUGGGCUGCAUGGUAGCUCUUUUCCAGGAUUCUACGGCCUGGAGUAAUAAGUCGUGCCAAGCUCUCUCUGCUAUAUCCCAAAGUCCAGCACCCUGUGGGUCAGCCCCUGAGGGCCAUCCAACCUCCGUCUCCCAACACUAAGUUCACUUCGUGUCUCUCAUGACAGGGAGGAAACUUCGUGUUCCUUGGAGACCUGAAAGGAUGCAGUGAAGCAUAAGAAUUUUCAAGAGCUUAUCAAUGAGGCAGCCCUUGUUCAUCCCUGAGCGGAUGUGUGGUGGUAUUGUGGUGGACCUUUACUGGGCACUCUGCCGAAUAACUGGAGUGGCACUUGUACUUUAGUCCGGUUGGCUAUCCCUUUCACCCUGGCAUUUCAUCAAUAAGACAUCAUAAAGCGAGAGAAGCUCCUUAGGGGUCUUUCAACUCUCAUGUCUAUUUAGACGCAAUUGGAGUCCCACGAGGAAUACCAGAUCAAUUUAAAGCUUGAAAUCAAAUAGCUGCAGGAUUUGAGUCAAUAUUUUGGUAGGUGACAGUUAAUAAAAAUGUAGAUUGGAUAAACUACAUCUAUUACAACCAACAGCAACGAGCUUUUCAUGAGUUAAAAGAAAACUCACGUCAGCUCCAGCCCUGAGGCUACCUGACCUGACAAAACUCAACAUUCUAUGUGUCAGAAAGAGAAAAAAUGGCAGUUGGAGUUUUAACCCAGACUGUGGGGCCCUGGUCAAGGCUAGUGGUCUAUUUCUCAAAACAACUAGACAGGGUUUCCAAAGGCUGGCCCCACGUCUAAGGGCCCUGGCAGCAACAGCCCUGUUAGCACAAGAAGCAGAUAAACUAACCCUUAAGCAAAAUCUGAAUAUAAAGACCCCCCAUGCUGUGGUAACCUUAAUAAAUACCAAAGGAUAUCAUUGGUUAACAAAUGAUAGAUUAACCAAGUACCAAAUCAUGCUAUUUGAAAAUCCCCACAUAACCAUUGAAGUUUGCAACACCCUAAACCCCACCACAUUUCUCCCGGUAUCAGAGAGCCCAGUUGAACAUAACUGUGUAAAGGUGUUGGACUCAGUUUAUUCUAGCAGGCCUAACCUCUGAGACCAUCCUUGAACAUCAGUAGACUGUGAGCAGUACGUGGAGGGGAGCAGCUUUGCCAACCCCUGCAAAGUGACUCUGAAGAAGACGACAAGCCCUACUCCAGUCACACCUGGAAGCUGACUGGUCCACACACAGCCGAAGCAUGAGAAAACCCAUUGCGGGACUCAUUUUUCUUAAAAUUUGGACUUUUACAGUAAGGACUUCAAAUGACCUUCCUCAGACUAAGGACAGUUCCCAUUGUAUACAUCAAGUCACUGAGGUAGGACAAAAGGUUGCUAUGGUCCUAUUAUUUUAUGGUUAUUAUAAGUGUACUGGAACUCUAAAAAGAACUUGUUCGUGUAAUGUUAUUCUAUACAAAGUAUGUAGCCCAGGAAGUGACCAACCUGAUGUGUGUUAUGACCCAUCUGAGCCUCCCAUGACCAUAGUUUUUAAAAUAAGAUUAAGGACUGAGGACUGGUGUGGACUCAUAAAUGAUACGAGUGAAGUGUUAGCCAAAACAGAAGAAAAAGGGGUGCCCAAACAAUUCAUCUUAAAAUUUGAUGCCUGUGCUGUCAUUAAUAGUAGUAAGUUAGGAAUAAGUUGUGGUUCUCUUCAUUAGAAAAGGCUAUAUGGCAGAAAAUAAAUACAUCUGUCAUAAAUUAGCACUGUGUGGAAAUAAAUGUAAACACUGG